CAACCCUCAAGCUUCUGCUUGGUAUUGGGCUUCAUCCGCCUAAGGAUGUGCCUAAAACUCAUAGGCGGUUGCACCUAGCUCCCUUGCGUAGUUAUUUUUUUUCUCGCUUGGAAAUUUAGGUGGAACCCGCCUGAGAACCCCCCCAUAUUUCUCAAGGU
rnacentral:misc_RNA from 1 species